rnacentral:tRNA from 1 species
GGUAAUGUAGCUCAGCAGGAGAGCACCUGCCUGGCAAGUGUGAUGUCCUGAGUUCGAUUCUCAGUACCA